UACGGAGGGGGCUAGCGUUGUUCGGAAUUACUGGGCGUAAAGCGCACGUAGGCGGCUUUGUAAGUUAGAGGUGAAAGCCCGGAGCUCAACUCCGGAAUUGCCUUUAAGACUGCAUCGCUUGAACAUCGGAGAGGUGAGUGGAAUUCCGAGUGUAGAGGUGAAAUUCGUAGAUAUCGGAAGAACACCAGUGGCGAAAGACGACUCACUGGCCCGGUACUGACGCUGAGGGUGCGAAAGCUGGGGGAGCAAA
rnacentral:rRNA from 1 species